rnacentral:lncRNA from 1 species
AGGUUUUGCCUUUGGCGUUCAACAACUUCACCCGGCCCUUAUCCAGAGACCUUUUGGGUAAGUCAAUUCACCAAGCCCUCCAAAGUUACAACACGGUCACCAUUUGUUUCCCUGCCUCUUUGUUAUAAACAGACGAGGUCGAUAUGUCACAGAAGUUCCGGGGUUUUACAUAUUUAUAUAUGCUCAUGUAUUUUUUUUAAUGCUGAUACUAUAAAUAUUUUUAGAUGAGUCAAGUUAUCUGACCAAGUAUGCAGUCUCCAAACCAGCCAAAUGUUGGGCUUAGGAUUAAACAAAACAAAACAAAACAAACAAA